rnacentral:lncRNA from 1 species
CUGCUCCUCUGGUGUUUGUUUAAAGGCUAGGUACUUGACUCGCUUGCUCAAGGUUUGAUUCAAGAUCUUUGUUCAACCUUGUUGGAGAAGUUUAUAGUCACCUGACUUACUCGAGGACGAGCAAGAGCUAAGCGUGGGGGGGAUUGUUGAUGCUCAUUAUUGACACACUUUUAGUGCCAUUUAACUAGUGUUUUCACACUUAAUCUUAUGCUAACCCAC